rnacentral:rRNA from 1 species
AUUGAACGCUGGCGGCAUGCCUUACACAUGCAAGUCGAACGGCAGCGCGGGGCAACCUGGCGGCGAGUGGCGAACGGGUGAGUAAUAUAUCGGAACGUACCCUGGAGUGGGGGAUAACGUAGCGAAAGUUACGCUAAUACCGCAUACGAUCCAAGGAUGAAAGCAGGGGACCGCAAGGCCUUGUGCUCCUGGAGCGGCCGAUAUCUGAUUAGCUAGUUGGUGGGGUAAAGGCCUACCAAGGCAUCGAUCAGUAGCUAGUCUGAGAGGACGACCACACACACUGGAACUGAGACACGGUCCAUACUCCUACGGGAGGCAGCAGUGGGGAAUUUUGGACAAUGGGCGCAAGCCUGAUCCAGCAAUGCCGCGUGAGUGAAGAAGGCCUUCGGGUUGUAAAGCUCUUUUGUCAGGGAAGAAACGGUGGAGGCUAAUAUCCUUUGCUAAUGACGGUACCUGAAGAAUAAGCACCGGCUAACUACGUGCCAGCAGCCGCAGUAAAAC